rnacentral:tRNA from 1 species
GGGGGUAUAGCUCAGUUGGUAGAGCGCUGCCCUUGCAACAUGGCAGAUGUCAGCGGUUCGAGCCCGCUUACCUCCA